CCGGGUGUAGCGCAGAUGGUAGCGCGCUUGACUGGGGGUCAAGAAGCCGCAGGUUCAAGUCCUGUCACUCGGACCA
rnacentral:tRNA from 1 species